rnacentral:rRNA from 1 species
GAUGAACGCUGGCGGCGUGCCUAAUACAUGCAAGUCGAGCGAAUGGAUUAAGAGCUUGCUCUUAUGAAGUUAGCGGCGGACGGGUGAGUAACACGUGGGUAACCUGCCCAUAAGACUGGGAUAACUCCGGGAAACCGGGGCUAGUACCGGAUAACAUUUUGAACCGCAUGGUUCGAAAUUGAAAGGCGGCUUCGGCUGUCACUUAUGGAUGGACCCGCGUCGCAUUAGCUAGUUGGUGAGGUAACGGCUCACCAAGGCAACGAUGCGUAGCCGACCUGAGGGGGUGAUCGGCCACACUGGGACUGAGACACGGCCCAGACUCCUACGGGAGGCAGCAGUAGGGAAUCUUCCGCAAUGGACGAAAGUCUGACGGAGCAACGCCGCGUGAGUGAUGAAGGCUUUCGGGUCGUAAAACUCUGUUGUUAGGGAAGAACAAGUGCUAGUUGAAUAAGCUGGCACCUUGACGGUACCUAACCAGAAAGCCACGGCUAACUACGUGCCAGCCGCCGCGGUAA